rnacentral:tRNA from 1 species
GGCGGGGUGCCGGAGUGGUUUAACGGAGCCGCCUCAAAAGCGGCCGGAUUUCCAUAGACAAGAAGUCCCGUGGGUUCGAAUCCCAUCCCCGCCG